AGGGUUUGAUCAUGGCUCAGGAUGAACGCUGGCGGCGUGCUUAACACAUGCAAGUCGAGCGAUGAAGUUUCCUUCGGGAAACGGAUUAGCGGCGGACGGGUGAGUAACACGUGGGUAACCUGCCUCAUAGAGUGGAAUAGCCUUCCGAAAGGAAGAUUAAUACCGCAUAAUGUUGAAAGAUGGCAUCAUCAUUCAACCAAAGGAGCAAUCCGCUAUGAGAUGGACCCGCGGCGCAUUAGCUAGUUGGUGGGGUAACGGCCUACCAAGGCGACGAUGCGUAGCCGACCUGAGAGGGUGAUCGGCCACAUUGGGACUGAGACACGGCCCAG
rnacentral:rRNA from 1 species